rnacentral:rRNA from 1 species
GGCAGCUCAAGUGGUGGCCAUUAUUAUUGGGCCUAAAGCGUUCGUAGCCGGUUUGAUAAGUCUCUGGUGAAAUCCCGCAGCUUAACUGUGGGACUUGCUGGAGAUACUAUUAGACUUGAGGUCGGGAGAGGUUAGGGGUACUCCCAGGGUAGGGGUGAAAUCCUAUAAUCCUGGGAGGACCACCUGUGGCGAAGGCGCCUAACUGGAACGAACCUGACGGUGAGUAACGAAAGCCAGGGGCGCGAACC